rnacentral:RNase_P_RNA from 18 species
CGAGUCGACCGGGCGGUCGCGUCGGUGGGUUUGGCCCGCCGUCGAGGAACGUCCGGACUCCACAGGGCAGGGUGGUUGCUAACGGCAACCCGGGGUGACCCGCGGGACAGUGCCACAGAAAACAGACCGCCGUUCCCAUCGGGGACGGUAAGGGUGAAACGGUGGGGUAAGAGCCCACCAGCACCCCGGGUGACCGGGGUGGCUCGGUAAACCCCACCCGGAGCAAGGCCAAGAAGGGCGUCAUCUGCGGAGACGACGACCCGCGCAGGCGAUCGAGGGCGGCCCGUCCGAUGUCUGCGGGUAGGCCGCUGGAGCCUGUCGGUGACGGCAGGCCGAGAUGGAUGACCGCCGCCGGCGCGAACCCUCGGGUGCGCGCCGCGCACAGAAUCCGGCGUACAGGUCGACUCGUCCG